GCGUAUUUAAAAGUGAGGAAAGCGUUUUGUAUGAAAUCCAUAGGCCUACAAGCGCAGUAAGUUAGUCCCUCACAGGGCUCGCACGUAAAUCGGCGGGAAAUAGCGAGUGAGUUGUGUGUGGAAAGUCUGCUGUAUUUUAGAAAUACUCGUCAGAAAAAGCAACUGAGAUUUCACAAGAUUUCUGUAUCCUGUAUCCUGAUGCAGCGAGGAAACUGUUUGAAAACUGGACCACGAUAAGUGAAAGAAUUCUUCCAUAUGCCCAGCAAGAGGGUAAACUGCCCUCAGUACUGGGUGACAUGACACCAGCUGCUAAAGAGGAGACAGCUUUGAAGGUCCUGCCAACUCUGCUUCCCCCAUCCAUCUACAGGAGAGGAGGAAAGGUCUUCAGACCCACCACAGAGGAGGCCCAGAAGUCAUUUAUUGACAUGCAACCUGUUGGGACCAACAUGGUUGAAUAUUUAAACCAUGAGAUGACUGGAGCAUUGCUGCACAUUCUUGCCUCAGUGAUGAGACAAGGGGGACAUCACAGACCUUUGCCAUUAUUCCAGGCCACGCCAUUGAGACUGUGUCUUUGUUGGAGGCGGUUGAUCUUUGCUUUAAAGCUUUUUUUGUUUUUGAUGUUCAGUACACCAAGCAGUGUCUCCCCACCUGGGAGUUUCUCCAGCAUGCUGUAUAUCAAAUUGAAGGAAAAGAGUCCUCCUCUGUAAAGUUUUUGAGGACAACAGUGGUUUCAGGCCCACAUGAUAUGUAGAUGAUUUUAAAAUGUAUUUUGUUGCUGUUCUUAAAUCAACACAUCUUAAUAAAUUAAAUUGUAAUCGUAUGAGAGUUCAAAUUAGUUGUUUAAUGACUUUUAAUGCCUGAAUAUUUGGACAGAUUUACAUUUGUUAUAAAGUCUGUGGGGAAGGGUGAAUGUCAGAGGGUGUGUGGGUG
ensembl:lncRNA